GCUCAUGGAUGACGCUGACGGUCGUGCGUAAUACAUGCACGUCGAGCGACAGAACGGAGGUAGCUGCCGGAUUUGAUCGCGAUCUAGUGAGUGACACGUGAGUAACGCGCAUGUAUGACCGGGAUAACUCCGGGAAACCUGAGCUAAUACCGGAUAGUUCCUUGUACCGCAUGGUUCAAAGAUCAAAGACCGUUUCGGCUGUCACUUACAGAUGGACCCGCGGUGCAUUAGCUAGUUGGUGGGGUAAUGGCUCACCAAGGCGACGAUGCGUAGCCGACUUGAGAGGGUGAUCGGCCACACUGGGAAUGAGACACGGCCCAGACUCCUACGGGAGGCAGCAGUAGGGAAUUUUCCGCAAUGGACGAAAGUCUGACGGAGCAACGCCGCGUGAGUGAUGAAGGUUUUUGGAUUGUAAAGCUCUGUUGUUAGGGAAGAACAAGCGCGAGAGUAACUGCUUGCACCUUGACGGUACCUAACCAGAAAGCCACGGCUAAAUAUGUGCCAGCAGCCGCGGUAAUACGUAGGUGGCCAGCGUUGUCUGGAAUUAUUGGGCGUAAAGGGCUCGCAGGCGGUUUCUUAAGUUUGAUGUGAAAGCCCCCGGCUCAACCGGGGAGGGUCAUUGGAAACUGGGAAACUUGAGUGCAGAAGAGGAGAGUGGAAUUCCACGUGUAGCGGUGAAAUGCGUAGAGAUGUGGAGGAACACCCGUGGGGAAGGGGACUCUCUGGUCUGUAACUGACGAUGAGGAGCGAAAGCGUGGGGAGCGAACCGGAUUAGAUACCCUGGUAGUUCACGCCGUAAACGAUGAGUGAUAAGUGUUAGGGGGUCUCCGCCCCUUAGUGCUGCACCUAACGCAUUAAUCACUCCGCCGGGGGAUUACGGUCCCAAGACUGAAACUCAAAGGAAUUGACGGGGGCCCCCACAACCGGGGAACCAUGUGGUUUAAUUCAAACCACCGCAAAAAACCUUACCGGGUCUUGACAUCCUCUGACAACCCUAAAAAUAGGGCUUUCCCUUCGGGGACAGAGUGACAGGUGGUGCAUGGUUGUCGUCACCUCGUGUCGUGAAAUGUUGGGUUAAUUCCCGCAACGAGCGCAACCCUUGAUCUUAUUUGCCAGCAUUCAUUUGGGCACUCUAAGGUGACUGCCGGUGACAAACCGGAGGAAGGUGGGGAUGACGUCAAAUCAUCAUGCCCCUUAUGACCUGGGCUACACACGUGCUACAAUGGACAGAACAAAGGGCUGCAAGACCGCAAGGUUUAGCCAAUCCCAUAAAUCUGUUCUCAGUUCGGAUCGCAGUCUGCAACUCGACUGCGUGAAGCUGGAAUCCCUAGUAAUCCCGGAUCAACAUGCCGCGGUGAAUACGUUCCCGGGCCUUGUACACACCGCCCGUCACACCACGAGAGUUUGCAACACUCCGAAGUCGGUGAGGUAACCUUUAUGGAGCCACGCCGCCGAAGGUGGGGCACAUGAUUGGGGUGAAGUCGUAACAAGUUAACCGUAAGCGGUUGGGCCCGAGUGCACCGGAGGAAAUU
rnacentral:rRNA from 2 species